rnacentral:lncRNA from 1 species
UCCCAAUGGCAUGGAGAAGAUGACCAGCCACCCAAGGAAAGAUACAUGUCUCAUGGAGGAGGAAAAGGUUAGCUUCACAUUCCUAUCCAGAAUAACCUCCUUUUCUGUGACCAUGAUCAAAAGGUGCAACUUGUCUAACUUUUUACCACUGCUUACCUACUUCAUCUUCUCUUCUCCAUCCUUUUACUGACUUGUUUGAUCAAAGAACUCAAAAGAGGAAAAAGCUUCAUAGUUUUCUUUUAGUUAUUAUUAGAAAAGCUUCAUAGUUAUCAUUACAGGAUGUCCAAGUCAAGUGGGAACACAUGAGGGGUAUACUUUUUUGUGCUUCUGGUGAAGCCAGAGGUAAAGGACAAGCUAGCUGUCUGUCCUGACCACAGAGAGAGAGAGAGAGAGAGAGAGAGCAAGAGAGAUGAUGAAAAUUAUAAUGUGCCUUAGUCUAGAUGAAAACAUUGAAGUUGGAUUAACUUUAAAGCAAUCAAGGUUGCUUUAGCAUAAAGAUAAUAUAAUCUACCAAACCAGAUGAACAAUCCUUUCUUGUUUCUCUUAUAACCCAAAAGAAGAAGAAGAAGAGGAAGACAAAUUAUGAUUAGUGUACCAGUAAUUGUUCCAGAACAAAUGGAGAUGCAGCACAUUUCCAAAAGAAGCAUUAUUUUAGUUUCAGAAUCCUACCAAGAUCACAUAUGCAAUGUGUUCAUUGCCAAUAGAACAAUUCAAAAGAGAAGACUUUGAUUUGUGGAGGAGAAGAAGCUCCAAGUUUGUCUUAUUCUGCACUAUAUGAUAGUGCCUGUUGCUUUCUCUUGAUCUUUAAUUUGCUUCUAGCAUUGUCUUCUUAAUGUAUUAUUGGGGUGAUAAUUAGAAAGCUUUCCAGUGUUGCCUCAAUAAUUAAAGAUAGCAUGACCAGAUUAACUAAAAUUUUCAAGGGACUUUUCUUUUGUGUUUGUGAUGAUCAAAUACUGUUUACAGUUUGUGUAUAGUUCUUCAACCAAGAUUAGCCAGUAUUAUUUGCAGAUUAUGUUUCAAUCUUGAUAGGAAAGAUAAAUAUAAUGAUCUGAGAUGGAGUUAUCCAAGAAUUAUGGACAAGGUAUGGCUUCAUUUUUCACUGGAUAUGCUAAAAUCUCUUUCUGCUAAUUGUCUUUGAUGAUGUCUCUUACCAACCUCUCCAAACCAUCAUAUUUAUUGAGAUGAAAUAGACAGCAAAAGAUCUACCUGAUGCCUAUGGUUUCUACCAACUGCAGCCUGCUUUGGAUUCUCUGCCAAAUCGUGUAGGUUGACUGGAAAUAGUUCCUGCACUGCUGUUCUUGGUGUGGGCCUUUUCAGAGUGCUCAGGAGCUUAAUGAAUGCAGGAUUGGAGUAGUAAUCAUAACAAAUGCAAACAGAAGCAGGUAUUUGGCAUAAGGUUUCAGGAUUGAGACACAAACAUUGGCCAAGUUCCAAGAAAAAAAACAACAAGAUCUGAAAUGCAUAUUGCUGACUACAGAUUUUUCCUCCAAACAUAGAGUACAGUUGAUCUUCUCCAAAAUUUACAGUUUCUGAAAGCUUUUACAAAGAGUUAUAUCUGAUCUCUUGAUUUUGCUAACAUAAUUUUCUCCUCCAGUAUCAUUUUCAGAAUCAUAGUCAUGAUAAUAAAAAGCAAGCUAAAUAGAUUUGGUUAUCCUCUUUAGGAAACACAGAGCUUUCAUGAACUCUGAAUCCAACUUUG